UACGUAGGGGGCAAGCGUUGUCCGGAUUUAUUGGGCGUAAAGAGCGUGUAGGCGGCCAGGUAGGUCUGCUGUGAAAACUCGAGGCUUAACCUCGAGCUGUCGGCGGAAACCAUCUGGCUAGAGUCCGGAAGAGGAGAAUGGAAUUCCCGGUGUAGCGGUGAAAUGCGCAGAUAUCGGGAAGAACACCCGUGGCGAAGGCGGGUCUCUGGACAGUUCCUGACGCUGAGGCACGAAGGCCAGGGGAGCAAACGGG
rnacentral:rRNA from 1 species